CAACCAGCAACCGGCGAACGGGUGCGUAACACGUGAGCGACCUGCCCCUCCGCGGGGGAUAGCCGGCCCAACGGCCGGGUAAUACCGCAUACGGUCUUGUGGGGGCCUCCCCAGAAGACGAAACCUCCGGGGCGGAGGGAGGGGCUCGCGGCCUAUCAGCUCGUUGGCGGGGUAACGGCCCACCAAGGCGGCGACGGGUAGCUGGUCUGAGAGGAUGGCCAGCCACAUUGGGACUGAGAGACGGCCCAGACUCCUACGGGAGGCAGCAGUGGGGAAUCUUGCGCAAUGGCCUGACGGCUGACGCAGCGACGCCGCGUGCGGGAGGACGCCCCUCGGGGUGUAAACCGCUGUUGCCCGGGACGAACAGACCUUUUCCAAGGUCCUGACGGUACCGGGUGAGGAAGCACCGGCUAACUCCGUGCCAGCAGCCGCGGUAAUACGGAGGGUGCGAGCGUUGUCCGGAAUCACUGGGCGUAAAGGGCGCGUAGGCGGCCGAGCCAGGUCGUGGUGAAAGCCCGGGGCUCAACCCCGGGUCGGCCAUGGCAACUACUCGGCUGGAGUGCUGUAGAGGCGGGCGGAAUUCCGGGUGUAGCGGUGGAAUGCGUAGAGAUCCGGAAGAACACCGGUGGCGAAGGCGGCCCGCUGGGCAGCGACUGACGCUGAGGCGCGACAGCGUGGGGAGCAAACAGGAUUAGAUACCCUGGUAGUCCACGCUGUAAACGAUGGGCACUAGGUGCCUCGGGGAGCGACCCCCGGGGUGCCGGCGCUAACGCAUUAAGUGCCCCGCCUG
rnacentral:rRNA from 1 species